AAACCGGAGGAAGGUGGGGAUGACGUCAAGUCCUCAUGGCCCUUACAGGGUGGGCUACACACGUGCUACAAUGGCGCAUACAAAGAGAAGCGACCUCGCGAGAGCAAGCGGACCUCAUAAAGUGCGUCGUAGUCCGGAUUGGAGUCUGCAACUCGACUCCAUGAAGUCGGAAUCGCUAGUAAUCGCGGAUCAGCACUUGUCGCGGUGAAUACGUUCCCGGGCCUUGUACACACCGCCCGUCACACCAUGGGAGUGGGUUGCACCAGAAGUAGCUAGUCUAACCUUCGGGAGGACGGUUACCACGGUGUGAUUCAUGACUUGGGUGAAGUCGGAACAAGGUAGCCGUACUGAA
rnacentral:rRNA from 14 species